rnacentral:lncRNA from 1 species
AAAAAUACUCUUUUUCUCAAAAUUCUCUCAAGAACACAAGCUAGGGUGUUCAUAGAAGAUCCAUUUACAAGAAAUUCUCUUUGUGAAACUUCAUGAAAUAACGAACUAAGGUAUGUGUUGUGUUGAUUUAUGAAUUCCUUUCAUCCAUAAAGCUCAAGAACCCUGUUUUAAAUUAUAAAUUUUGAUGUCUAUAUUUUUGGAUGUUGAUGAUCAUGUUGUUGAUGUUGAAUGAUUCCUAAGUUGGAAUCUUUAUGUGUUUUUAUGAAUCUAUGAUAUCAUGUGAGUUGGAAACAUGUAAACUUUGUUGUUCAUGAUGUAUAAUUUGAUGAUUACACCUAUGCCUAAGUUGUACAUGUAAGGUGUUUGAUAAAAUGCCUAAGAAACUAUAAAUCAUGCAUUAUUGCUAAAUUAUGACCUAAUUGACAAAUGCAUGCUUUAACCUUGUGAAGAUAAUGACUUAUAUGAUAUUGUUGUAUGUUAUGAUUGUUGAUGGGGUGCUUAUGAAACUAGAUUGAUGAACUUAUGACAAUAUGAUAUAUGCAUGCUAUCUGAUGUUCCGGCUUCCGACGGAACAUCUUUAGGCCUUUUUCUUAAGAUAAAUGCAUGUUUGAUCAACUAAUGUUGUAUUUGAUAUUGUAUUUAAGUGUUUUCAGGACAAAACCCAAGUGGGAUAAAUUACUUAAGAAAAUGGGCAAAACCAGAAGAAAAUUACAUGCGAUGGAGAGUUUGACAGAUCGGCAGAACCUCGACGGACCGUCGGGACCCACCGUUGCAAAGGAGCAGAAGACCAGGCCACUGGAAUCAUGCGACGAUGGCAUGCAACAGACCAUCGGACUUACGACAGACCAUCAAAAGACACCGUCGUGGCUGAGCAAAAUCCAUCGACAUUGGAAUCAAGCAAUGGUCACGUGCGAUGGACCGUCGGACAUGCGACAGAUCGUCGACGUGCACCGUUACACUUGGCGCGACAAAUUUCAAGUUUUAAAUGUGAAACCCUGAUUUCAAGAGUCCUAUAAAUACUAAGUGAUAGGGUUUAUUUCAGACACUCUUACAUUUUCAUUAUUAUCUUCCACACUUUCUUAGCCUCCUUCUUAGCUUAGUGUUUUUCUUUCAUUCCCACCUACCUUUGACUUUUCUUUUGGAAGCUAGAUCUGAGAUCUACAUUUCCAGAUCUAGCUCUCUACCCUUCUUUUGUAUCUUGUUUUUCUACUUCUUUUGUAACUUGGCAUAUUGUGGGAAGUAAGCUUUAGCUUUGGGAUUUUAAUCAUUUUAUUUGUACUGAAGACUCAAGAACACAUUCUUGUCAUUGUUGUAAAUAGAUCUUAAAUUAUUUAUGAACAACAUAAUGAUAUUUUUUGCUUCUUCUAUGGAAA